CUAAGGUAGCCUUGAGGCCCUGAUUUUGGCAGCAGUUUUGCAAAAUGUCCCUGUAAGCUCAACAAACCCUGAGAAGAUCUUGGAGAAGCCUGCAGCAACUGAUGACCAAACCCAGAGGUGCUUUGGACAGAACCAGAGGGAGGUGCCAGCCUUGCCAGGAAGCACAGCGUGGCCCAGGUCAUGCUGCAGACACGGGGACAGGCUGUGGAGCAUCCCAGUGGUGACACCUUGAGCCUGGGACAGGGGCUCUGCACGAGGCCAGGGAAGGAGGCAUGGCUUUCCUCAUCUCUACCUGUGCAGGAGCCGUGUGACCCUUCCUGGAGCAGACAGAGUGCGAGAUCACCAGGCCAGCAGACUCACAGAAAAUAUGUAAGUA